UUACCAUGCAGUCGACGGGAUCCGGGCAGCUUGCUGCCUGGUGAGAGUGGCGAACGGGUGAGUAAUGCGUGACCAACCUGCCCCAUGCUUCGGAAUAGCUCCUGGAAACGGGUGGUAAUGCCGGAUGCUCCGCACUGUCGCAUGAUGGUGUGGGAAAGGGUUUACCGGCAUGGGAUGGGGUCGCGUCCUAUCAGCUUGUUGGCGGGGUGAUGGCCUGCCAAGGCUUCGACGGGUAGCCGGCCUGAGAGGGCGACCGGCCACAUUGGGACUGAGAUACGGCCCAGACUCCUACGGGAGGCAGCAGUGGGGAAUAUUGCACAAUGGGCGAAAGCCUGAUGCAGCGACGCCGCGUGCGGGAUGACGGCCUUCGGGUUGUAAACCGCUUUUGAUUGGGAGCAAGCGAGAGUGAGUGUACCUUUCGAAUAAGCACCGGCUAACUACGUGCCAGCAGCCGCGGUAAUACGUAGGGUGCAAGCGUUAUCCGGAUUUAUUGGGCGUAAAGAGCUCGUAGGCGGUUCGUCGCGUCUGGUGUGAAAGUCCAUCGCUUAACGGUGGAUCGGCGCCGGGUACGGGCGGACUGGAGUGCGGUAGGGGAGACUGGAAUUCCCGGUGUAACGGUGGAAUGUGUAGAUAUCGGGAAGAACACCGAUGGCGAAGGCAGGUCUCUGGGCCGUCACUGACGCUGAGGAGCGAAAGCGUGGGGAGCGAACAGGAUUAGAUACCCUGGUAGUCCACGCCGUAAACGGUGGAUGCUGGAUGUGGGGCCCGUUCCACGGGUUCCGUGUCGGAGCUAACGCGUUAAGCAUCCCGCCUGGGGAGUACGGCCGCAAGGCUAAAACUCAAAGAAAUUGACGGGGGCCCGCACAAGCGGCGGAGCAUGCGGAUUAAUUCGAUGCAACGCGAAGAACUUACCUGGGCUUGACAUGUGCCGGACGGCGCGGAGACGCGGCUUCCCU
rnacentral:rRNA from 1 species